UUCUACACUUUUUUUUUUUUGGGUAGUUCUUCGUAUAAAUUUGUUCACUUAAUUACCAAUGGAAUCCGGUCACACUCACUCCUCAGAUCCAUACAGAUCCGGUCACCCUCACUCGUUAGAUACAUCCAGAUCUGGUCUCCCACACCCACCCUCUGUUUUCCAUUCGAUUCCGGCUCUAAAUGAUUUCGGCAAAGCUGUUUUCUCCCCAAUCUCAACCCCAUGAGUUUUUGAUGCGGAAAUAUUAAGAAAUCAUAAUGGUGAUAGUGAUUACAUUAAAAAAAAAUGGGUGAUGAAGAUCGAGAGACUCGGUGGCAUAUUAUGGUAAUUGUAGAUCGUGGCAGGUACAAUGACAUUAAUUGUUUACCGUAUAAAAAACUUAUGGGGUUGAGAUUGAGGAGGUAACAACUUAGUCAAAAUCCCUUUAGAGUUCAUUGUAGCCUGCUUGAUUCUACUUGCAUAAUCAUGUUGUAAGCACGGAAUCAUGUAUUAUUUGCUAUUAUUUUGUCAAUUUGAGGCUUACUUUUGGUUGGUACACUAUUGAUAUCUGUCGUGAGACGUUAAUUGUUGUUGUUAAAUAUUGAAUUUCUUGCUUUUGUUCAGUUGAUUUUACGUGCUAGAUUGAGUUACCUU